rnacentral:rRNA from 1 species
UGGGGAAUCUUGCACAAUGGGGGAAACCCUGAUGCAGCGACGCCGCGUGAGCGAUGAAGCCCUUCGGGGUGUAAAGCUCUUUCGACAGGAACGAUAAUGACGGUACCUGGAGAAGCAGCUGCGGCUAACUACGUGCCAGCAGCCGCGGUAAUACGUAGGCAGCGAGCGUUGUUCGGAGUUACUGGGCGUAAAGGGUGUGUAGGCGGUUGCCUAAGUUUGGUGUGAAAUCUCCCGGCUCAACUGGGAGGGUGCGCCGAAUACUGAGCGACUAGAGUGCGGGAGAGGAGAGUGGAAUUCCUGGUGUAGCGGUGAAAUGCGUAGAUAUCAGGAGGAACACCGGUGGUGUAGACGGCUCUCUGGACCGUAACUGACGCUGAGACACGAAAGCGUGGGUAGCAAA